AGACCCUGGGAUUUUUAGUCACCCCGCCAACUAACCCUGCUCUAGGAGGGCUAGACAUCAUGCCCUCUAGUGUGGAGGGGAGUCGGUCUGAUUGCAUGAGUAUUUCCACUCUUACUUCCUCUUGUGGAACUGCACCUGUGGGGAAACUUGAAGAAAAAUAGCAGUGUAGACAAGGCCCUGGAGGUGGUUCCAUCUGGUUAUGCUUGAUGCAGGGUGCUUAGUAGGCACACUCACCUUGCCUCUUCUCUUCCUGUAGAAAUAUUGAGGACUUUUAAGUACAAGAGUCGGGAGGAAGUUUAGAGAAGAACCGCAAUAUGACUGGUUGGUAGGAGUAUUGAUUUAGUAGGAAGGAUUAAAGGAGUUAAAGGGGGAGAUGCUUAUGCCUAGAAAUAAGCUAAAAUUAAGACCAAGUCCACACAAUAUCAGGAAAGAUUCUGGUAGCAAGAUCUAGAUGUCUUUUUUGAGCCAUAUGUGUUCUUUAGAUGAAGAAGUUGGAUCUCACCAUAAUUUGGCUAUUUUUGUAGCCCAAUUUAUCCUCUUCAUAUUGGUUAGAAAAAUAAACCUACAUUAGUGUAAUUAAUUAUCAUUAAGAGGAAAAACAGAUGAUAUAGAAUGUUAAAUGAGAACAUACUAGUGAAAUUGAUUUACAUGGAACCUCUGCACAAAGUGAGAUAUUUCAAAGGAAAGACCUGCUUAUAAUAAACUGAAGUUGUUGCUUGUUGGAUCUAUAUGGCGUUUUGGUGACAUUUCCAUAUUGUAAAUUGGUCUCUAUAUUUGUACCUUUCCUUGUUGUGGAACCAGCUACAGUGCUAUGCUCUGCAAACAAUUGUGUGAACAAAGUAUCAACUGUGUAAUUGCCCCCAAAUACCUGGAUUUCCAGUACAGCAGAGAUCUUUCUGCCACAGACUUACCUGCCAAAAUACGGGACAGUGAAAUAAUGGUCUUCUAGUCUGCUAA
rnacentral:lncRNA from 1 species